GUUUGAAGAUCCGGCUAUCGGGGGAUUGACAAUUUUACACCGAGAAAUUCUAGCAGGAAUUCAAGAAAUUAGAAAAUGGAGCUGAGUACCAUUAAAGAUGCCUUUGAUCGUGUCACAAAGAAGCAAAAGGUUGCAUCAUCAAAGUCUCAAGAAGUGAUAGAGCAGAUCGGUCAUGAAAUAGAGCAAGCACUGUUGAGAAUACAGUCAGCUAAUGAUACUGCUUCUUUGAGUGAACACAAAGUGAUUCUUAGUGAACUUAAAGCCAAGUUGAAGGAAGUUGCUCCACUCAGUCAGAUGGAAGGAACACAAAAAGAACUAAAUGUUGCACUAAGCAAGUACCCAAAGCUCCUUGAGAAGUCACUCAAUCCUGAUAUAUCAAAGGCUUACAGGAAUGUUGGUUCUGAUAUCCAUACUGUUAACCAGAUAAUUGCCAGCCAUUUCUACCGGGAAGGCCACUUUGAUCUUGGUGAUUGUUUCGUGAAUGAGGCCAGAGAAUCUGAAGCUGCAGGCCAAAAAACUCCUUUUCUGCAAAUGUAUCAAAUACUUGAAGCCAUGAGGUGUAGGAACCUGGAGCCAGCUCUGAGUUGGGCCACCACGAAUAGUGAGAAACUUAAGCUGACUGGAUCUGAUAUUGAAAUGAAGUUACACAGGCAGCAGUUUGUAGAAAUUCUGCAAAACAGAGGUAGAGAUGGAGCUUUGAAUUAUGCUAGAACUUUCUUUCCACCUUUUGCCACCAAAUAUUUGGCAGAGAUCCAGAGGCUCAUGGCCUGUCUAUUGUGGGCUGAGAAACUGGAGUCCUCACCUUACUCAGAUUUACUAUCACCUCUCCACUGGGAUAAAUUGGCUGAAGAGCUUGCUCGGCAGUUCUGCAAUCUUAUGGGUCAAUCCUAUGAGAGUCCGUUGAGUGUGACCAUUGCGGCAGGCGUCCAGGGAUUGCCAACCCUUCUGAAACUGAUGAAUGUGAUGACUGGGAAAAAACAGGAAUGGCAAUCCAUGAAACAGUUACCCGUGCCGGUGGACUUGGACAGAGAAUUUCAGUUCCACUCUAUCUUUGUCUGUCCAGUGAGUCGGGAUCAGGCAUCUGAGGAGAACCCCCCUAUGCUGAUGUCUUGUGGGCAUGUUCUAUGCAAGCAAUCUAUUACCAAACUGUCAAAGAAUAACAACACACGGCCUUUCAAGUGUCCUUACUGCCCCACGGAGGUUGAGGUCGGUCAGUGUAGACAAUUGUUCUUCUAAUCAGCUUUUGUAUUAAAAAAUCUUCUUGCUACCCCCCCGCCCCCUCCCCCCUCCUCUUUAUCUCUGUGCUCUUUGAACUCAAUUCCCGUUCGUUCGUUACAUGGUUGAUGGUGCCUCUGACCAUAGCGUUAAUUGUGC
rnacentral:misc_RNA from 1 species